UACGAAGGGGGCUAGCGUUGCUCGGAAUCACUGGGCGUAAAGGGCGCGUAGGCGGAUUUCUAAGUCAGAGGUGAAAGCCCAGGGCUCAACCCUGGAAUUGCCUUUGAUACUGGAGAUCUAGAGACCGGAAGAGGUAAGUGGAACUGCGAGUGUAGAGGUGAAAUUCGUAGAUAUUCGCAAGAACACCAGUGGCGAAGGCGGCUCACUGGCCCGGUACUGACGCUGAGGUGCGAAAGCGUGGGGAGCAAACAGG
rnacentral:rRNA from 1 species